UAUGCCUGCUCUUGGUAAGGUAUGUGAGACAAGUGACACAUUAUUUUGUGCCACUAACAGUAGUGCCAGCAUUAAGCAGGUUGGGCAAUUUCAUUUAGGAAACGAUGCAACCAUUGUUAGAGAAAGGUAAUGUCUUUCAUACUUUUACACGUUUUAGACUUGUGUUAAGACUGUAUCAAAAAUAUGAAAGUAUAUCUAGCUACAGGGCUAACUUGUAAGUACCCUUUAAGAAGCACAAACUGGGAGAAAAAUCUAUUCAUUUUAGACAGAUUGUUGAAAUAGCUGAAUUCUAAGAUGUGCUAAAUUAUUUAUCUCCAAAGUGUAUACUAAUACACUUGAACCAUGUGUCCUAAUGUUUCAAAACAAAUCUAACUAAAUUAUUAAACCUGUAUAGGCUGCUGAUUUCCAUUCAGAAUAAAAAAAAAAUCAAGUCUGACAUUUAAAGCUUCUCAGUAAGUCCUACAAAAAGAGGUAAGAAGAAUUCAGACUUGUAAAAGAAGCUUGUUCAGUGCUUACUGAGGUGACCUAUUGGUAGUGGAAGCCAUUAAGAAUACAAAUCUUAUACAUGAUGUUUCAGGAGUACAUGCAUGUUUUAAUAUUUUGCAAGAGUAAUAUUGAUACUACACUUAAUCUAAGCUGCCAGGAAGCUGAGAAGUGAUGUCUCUUGUUGGCUUAGAUCAAGUAGUAAAUAAUAUGAACUCUAUCCAAAAACCUUAAUGGGUUAGGUCCUGUUGACCACACUCUGCUUCCUGCAGUCCUGAAGUUGUUUAACUGGCCCCAGAAUCAGUUUGCUCCUUUGCAAAAUUCCUUUUCUGCUAGCAUGACAGUAGGGGAGAGGAUGUGUAGUAAGAAUUCUCCUUCUCCAUUUUGCCAGUGCUUAGUUGUGAUUUGGACUCUCUCCAGGCUUAGGACAAUCUACAUGUCCAGUUAUGCAGAUCUCCACUUCCAGCUUUGGAUUAGAUUUUCUGAACAGCUACAGAGCUGGAAACCAGGAAACCAUGACAACUAAGAGUUCAGCCUGGAAACUCUGAGGCCUUGGGGCAGUUCACAGGCAGAAGAACAGAGCAUUAAUUGUAAAUGGACCAUUUCAGUCAACACCCUGUAAGGAGUAACCUAGAAACCUCUACUCGAAGACGAAGCAGAAGAGAAUGCUAUGUGAAGAAUGCCCAUCUGCAAUGAUAAGGAGGAGACAGUCCUAGAUAAAGGGGGCUUGAAAACAAAAGAAGAAACAGAGUACUGGGUUAAAGGGCUCAUUAAAAUACUAAAAAUCACACCCCUAGGUGGGGAAGAAGUAUGCUAAUGAAACACAUAUGUAUGUAAAUGAGAUACAUGGCUAAAACACAGGUAUAGAGACAUGCUCAGUAAAGAACUGCUUGUGUCACUCACUUAUAACCAAUCAUUAAACAAGCACGCUUCCGAAGGCUUGAAAACUCCUGUAUAAAAGAUGCUUAGAAAUAGUGAUCUGGUGUGGUUGUUAUGUGAAUUAUUCUGCUUGCACCUUUUAUUGCUAGCAAUAAACCUUCUUUGUACUUUCA